rnacentral:rRNA from 1 species
ACGCUGGCGGCAGGCUUAACACAUGCAAGUCGAACGGUAGCAGGAGGAAGCUUGCUUUCUUGCUGACGAGUGGCGGACGGGUGAGUAAUGCUUGGGAAUCUGGCUUAUGGAGGGGGAUAACUACGGGAAACUGUAGCUAAUACCGCGUAGUGUCGAGGGACGAAAGUGCGGGACCGCAAGGCCGCAUGCCAUGAGAUGAGCCCAAGUGGGAUUAGGUAGUUGGUGGGGUAAAGGCCUACCAAGCCUGCGAUCUCUAGCUGGUCUGAGAGGAUGGCCAGCCACACUGGAACUGAGACACGGUCCAGACUCCUACGGGAGGCAGCAGUGGGGAAUAUUGCGCAAUGGGGGGAACCCUGACGCAGCCAUGCCGCGUGAAUGAAGAAGGCCUUCGGGUUGUAAAGUUCUUUCGGUAUUGAGGAAGGAGUGUAUGUUAAUAGCAUACAUUAUUGACGUUAAAUACAGAAGAAGCACCGGCUAACUCCGUGCCAGCAGCCGCGGUAAUACGGAGGGUGCGAGCGUUAAUCGGAAUAACUGGGCGUAAAGGGCACGCAGGCGGUUAUUUAAGUGAGGUGUGAAAGCCCCGGGCUUAACCUGGGAAUUGCAUUUCAGACUGGGUAACUAGAGUACUUUAGGGAGGGGUAGAAUUCCACGUGUAGCGGUGAAAUGCGUAGAGAUGUGGAGGAAUACCGAAGGCGAAGGCAGCCCCUUGGGAAUGUACUGACGCUCAUGUGCGAAAGCGUGGGGAGCAAACAGGAUUAGAUACCCUGGUAGUCCACGCUGUAAACGCUGUCGAUUUGGGGAUUGGGCUUAAAGCUUGCUGCCCGUAGCUAACGUGAUAAAUCGACCGCCUGGGGAGUACGGCCGCAA